GAAAUGGAUGCGUAGUUUUUGAUCUCUUAACCUCUCUUUUAUAACUUAUGUACAGAUUAAAGUUUUAAAAGCUGAAUCUGUGCGUGUGUUUUGGAUAUACCUGAAUGAAGAACCCGGUGAUUCAGAUGUCGAAGCAAACACGGGACCAUCCAUUAGUGAAACGUAUGCCGACCUUGAAAUUGCGUUGAAGUAGAUGAAGCGUCAGCCCGAGUGUGACCACAUGCAACUUUUCAUUGUCCAGUGGAUGUGCGACUUGGCUACUCGAAAACAGAUAAAGAUAAUCAAACAGCUCAUGUUGAACGAGAUGUUCAGCAAACAAUGACUUUCAGUACUUAAUUUCAAAAAGAAAAGUAAUGUGAAUCGAUGUUAGUGUUUGCCAGUGUCAGAAAAAGUACUGCCAAAGAUAGAAGACAUGAGGAGUUGCAUGCUUACGAAUUCCUGGAUACUUGUCUUCGGUCGGGUACUCCAAAUAAAAAUCAAUUAAUGUAGGAUUUUCAAGGAACUUGCAUUUUACCGCAGAGUCACAUUGUAAAUCUAUAAAUUCUAAUUGAAGUUCAGGUGGAAAUUUCCAACGUCUACUGAAGAUGGCCAGGAGAACAUUCUCAUAAAAAUUUCAUUUUCACAAAAAUCUGAAAAUCUGCUUUCCUCCUCUUUCAAAUUUGAAAUGCAUUGUACAUAAUUAUUUGAAUUCUAUGUUGCAGAGUUCUUCACACACUCCAUCAAUUUUGGAAAGUGAGUGGAAUCUUAUUUAGCAACUGAUUUUCUCACAGGAUUAAUUUUGUCUCAAAA